rnacentral:rRNA from 1 species
AGAGUUUGAUCCUGGCUCAGAUUGAACGCUGGCGGCAUGCCUUACACAUGCAAGUCGAACGGUAACGGGCCUUCGGGUGCCGACGAGUGGCGAACGGGUGAGUAAUGCAUCGGAACGUACCUUUCAGUGGGGGAUAACGUAGCGAAAGUUACGCUAAUACCGCAUAUUCUGUGAGCAGGAAAGCAGAGGAUCGCAAGACCUUGCGCUGAUUGAGCGGCCGAUGUCAGAUUAGCUAGUUGGUGAGGUAAAGGCUCACCAAGGCGACGAUCUGUAGCGGGUCUGAGAGGAUGAUCCGCCGCACUGGAACUGAGACACGGUCCAGACUCCUACGGGAGGCAGCAGUGGGGAAUUUUGGACAAUGGGGCAACCCUGAUCCAGCCAUGCCGCGUGAGUGAAGAAGGCCUUCGGGUUGUAAAGCUCUUUCGGCCGGGAAGAAAUCGCAUGGGUUAAUACCCUGUGCGGAUGACGGUACCGGCAUAAGAAGCACCGGCUAACUACGUG